rnacentral:rRNA from 1 species
GAUGAACGCUGGCGGCGUGCUUAACACAUGCAAGUCGAACGGAAAGGCCCAAGCUUGCUUGGGUACUCGAGUGGCGAACGGGUGAGUAACACGUGGGUGAUCUGCCCUGCACCUCGGGAUAAGCCUGGGAAACUGGGUCUAAUACCGGAUAGGACCACUUCUUGGAUGUUGUGGUGGAAAGUUUUUUCGGUGUGGGAUGAGCUCGCGGCCUAUCAGCUUGUUGGUGGGGUAAUGGCCUACCAAGGCGUCGACGGGUAGCCGGCCUGAGAGGGUGUACGGCCACAUUGGGACUGAGAGACGGCCCAGACUCCUACGGGAGGCAGCAGUGGGGAAUAUUGCACAAUGGGCGCAAGCCUGAUGCAGCGACGCCGCGUGGGGGAUGACGGCCUUCGGGUUGUAAACUCCUUUCGCUAGGGACGAAGCGUUUUGUGACGGUACCUGGAGAAGAAGCACCGGCUAACUACGUG